rnacentral:rRNA from 1 species
AUUGAACGCUGGCGGCAUGCCUUACACAUGCAAGUCGAACGGCAGCACGGGGCAACCUGGUGGCGAGUGGCGAACGGGUGAGUAAUGUAUCGGAACGUGCCAUUGAGUGGGGGAUAACGUAGCGAAAGUUACGCUAAUACCGCAUAUACCCUGAGGGGGAAAGCAGGGGAUCGCAAGACCUUGUGCUCUUUGAGCGGCCGAUAUCAGAUUAGCUAGUUGGUGAGGUAAAGGCUCACCAAGGCGACGAUCUGUAGCGGGUCUGAGAGGAUGAUCCGCCACACUGGGACUGAGACACGGCCCAGACUCCUACGGGAGGCAGCAGUGGGGAAUUUUGGACAAUGGGCGCAAGCCUGAUCCAGCCAUGCCGCGUGAGUGAAGAAGGCCUUCGGGUUGUAAAGCUCUUUCGGCCGGGAAGAAAUCGUACAGGUUAAUACCCUGUGUGGGUGACGGUACCGGAAUAAGAAGCACCGGCUAACUACGUGCCAGCCGCCGCCGUAACAC